rnacentral:rRNA from 1 species
AACGAACGCUGGCGGCAUGCCUAACACAUGCAAGUCGAACGAGACCUUCGGGUCUAUUGUCGCACGGGGGCGUAACGCGUGGGAAUCUACCCUCAGGUUCGGAAUAACUCAGAGAAAUUUGAGCUAAUACCGGAUGAUGACGUAAGUCCAAAGAUUUAUCGCCUGAGGAUGAGCCCGCGUAGGAUUAGGUAGUUGGUGAGGUAAAGGCUCACCAAGCCGACGAUUCUUAGCUGGUCUGAGAGGAUGAUCAGCCACACUGGGACUGAGACACGGCCCAGACUCCUACGGGAGGCAGCAGUGGGGAAUAGUGGACAAUGGGCGAAAGCCUGAUCCAGCAAUGCCGGGUGAGUGAUGAAGGCCUUAGGGUUGUAAAGCUCUUUUACCCGGGAUGAUAAUGACGGUACCGGGAGAAUAAGCUCCGGCUAACUACGUG